rnacentral:rRNA from 1 species
ACGCUGGCGGCAGGCUUAACACAUGCAAGUCGAGCGGAGAGAAGUAGCUUGCUACUGAUCUUAGCGGCGGACGGGUGAGUAAUACUUAGGAAUCUGGCUAUUAGUGGGGGACAACAUUUCGAAAGGGAUGCUAAUACCGCAUACGUCCUACGGGAGAAAGCAGGGGAUCAGUAAUGACCUUGCGCUAAUAGAUGAGCCUAAGUCGGAUUAGCUAGUUGGUGGGGUAAAGGCCUACCAAGGCGACGAUCUGUAGCGGGUCUGAGAGGAUGAUCCGCCACACUGGGACUGAGACACGGCCCAGACUCCUACGGGAGGCAGCAGUGGGGAAUAUUGGACAAUGGGGGGAACCCUGAUCCAGCCAUGCCGCGUGUGUGAAGAAGGCCUUAUGGUUGUAAAGCACUUUAAGCGAGGAGGAGGGUACUGGUAUUAAUACUACCAGCUACUGGACGUUACUCGCAGAAUAAGCACCGGCUAACUCUGUGCCAGCAGCCGCGGUAAUACAGAGGGUGCGAGCGUUAAUCGGAUUUACUG